GCGCUGGGGCUUUCGCAGCUGAGUCUUAGCCCGCAGCCCUUCUGCGGGGGUCGCCCUCCCUUGCCUGGGAGAAGAGGCGGUGCAGAAACCCAGCGAUAGGACACUCGGGCUCCCUCGCCUCCUUUUUUUCUCUGGCUUGCACCCUCCGCACAGCGGGCGGCGGGUGCUUCCCAUUCACCGCACGGACCCCGCAGUGAAGGCGCGCCGCUACAGCCGCGCCUGCCCGCGUUGGGAGGAGGCGAAAUAGCCGGGUACCCGCAGGGAAGGAAACUGGCAGGAAAACUGGAGGGGCACAGCCUAGAGCUUGCUACUCUCCAGGAUCUGUUGUCAGAGCAGUUUGCAAAAACAGUCAGGCAAAACCCUGAGGCGUACGCAUCACCCACGGAUAUCGCGAAAGACACAGUUUAGCCCCGAGCCUGUGGUAGGAACCCGCAUCCAACAUCUGAGAGGCAGGAGGCGCGCAAGGAGUCCGAAGGGGCAUGGAAAUUCCUAAAAGAAACGAUCCGUUCUGGAUCGUCGGGACAGAGAGAAAAACCGGGGUGGGUUGACGGAACACUUACUCUUGCCGGGCCCUGCGGUGGCGAUGUCAAGCCUCCUGGUUCACAAAUGGCUGGAGGGGCUCGGGGUCAGCUCUCGAGGGCAGCAAGUGCCGACCGGUCCCUGAGCGCUGGGCAGGCGCCUCCGGAUUCCGUUCAUGCCUCUCGGAGCUGCAGGGCUUGGUGCUGAGACGCGGGGCGGGCGCGCUGGUCUCUGGGUGUCUGCAGCCCAAAGUGCAGCUGGUGGCUUGAUGCUACCAUCUACGCACAAACCGGCGGCGGCGGCGGAGCUUGGAGAAAGCAGGGAGAUUCCAAAUAAAUCCACUAAUUCUGGGCUGAGCGCUCCGGCGUGCGAGCCCGCCUGCCUGCCAAAUGUAACUGUGAAGUGAUGUGGAAAAGUGAGCCGGGUGCCUCCCCUGACGGAUCUCAUUGGGCAGAGCGCAGAGGCAGGUCUACCACUUGGAAAUUCAUGCAAGCAAUCCCCCUCCCCGCCCCCUCCCCGCCUUCCCCCUUCACUCUCCUGCGCUGGCUCGCUCGUUCUCUUUCCCCCUACCCAAGUGGGCGCACAACUUUUCGCUCCUCGCUCCCGAUCACGCCCCGCGCGUCUCCGCCGCCAGAGCCACGGGGUGAAGAUGCGCCCUUCCGUGCUGUGCGCGCAGCCGGCAGAGGGCCGAGCUCCGGCAUAAGGGGGCUGGCAGACCAUAACAGCCUGCGGAGGAGGUACCAUCCUUGCAGCUCUCCUGCCUCCAGCAAGAGCUGCCCUGUCUGUGGCCACUUCAAGUCUUCUGAGGGGCUGUGCUCAGAUCUUGAGAAAUGGCCACCCUGAGGUAAAGCCAGUGCAAGAAGAAGGGAUCAUGAAUCAGAAGGUCCAGAUUUCUCUUUUUUCAACACUGGGGUUAACAUGUAGACAAUGCCACUGCGAUCAUCUUUUAAUAAAAUUAGCUAAAUAUAAGACA
rnacentral:lncRNA from 13 species